GAGACAGCAGUCGCCGCGGUAAUACAGAGGAUGCAAGCGUUAUCCGGAAUGAUUGGGCGUAAAGCGUCUGUAGGUGGCUUUUUAAGUCCGUUGUGAAAGCCCUGGGCUCAACCUGGGAAUUGCAGUGGAUACUGGAUCACUAGAGUGUGGUAGAGGAUAGUGGAAUUUCCGGUGUAGCAGUGAAAUGCGUAAAGAUCGGAAGGAACAUCUGUGGCGAAGGCGACUAUCUGGGCCAACACUGACACUGAGGCACGAAAGCGUGGGGAGCAAACAGGAUUAGAUACCCGCGUAGUCCCUGUCUCUUAUAC
rnacentral:rRNA from 1 species